rnacentral:tRNA from 1 species
GGGCAGGUGGCGGAAUGGCAGACGCGCAGGACUUAGAAUCCUGUCCUUCCAAGGGUGCGGGUUCAAGUCCCGCCUUGCCCA